rnacentral:rRNA from 1 species
ACGGGUGAGUAAUGUCUGGGAAACUGCCCGAUGGAGGGGGAUAACUACUGGAAACGGUAGCUAAUACCGCAUAACGUCUUCGGACCAAAGUGGGGGACCUUCGGGCCUCACACCAUCGGAUGUGCCCAGAUGGGAUUAGCUAGUAGGUGGGGUAACGGCUCACCUAGGCGACGAUCCCUAGCUGGUCUGAGAGGAUGACCAGCCACACUGGAACUGAGACACGGUCCAGACUCCUACGGGAGGCAGCAGUGGGGAAUAUUGCACAAUGGGCGCAAGCCUGAUGCAGCCAUGCCGCGUGUAUGAAGAAGGCCUUCGGGUUGUAAAGUACUUUCAGUGGGGAGGAAGGCGAAGAGGUUAAUAACCUUUUCGAUUGACGUUACCCGCAGAAGAAGCACCGGCUAACUCCGUGCCAGCAGCCGCGGUAAUACGGAGGGUGCAAGCGUUAAUCGGAAUUACUGGGCGUAAAGCGCACGCAGGCGGUCUGUCAAGUCGGAUGUGAAAUCCCCGGGCUCAACCUGGGAACUGCAUUCGAAACUGGCAGGCUAGAGUCUUGUAGAGGGGGGUAGAAUUCCAGGUGUAGCGG